rnacentral:rRNA from 1 species
GAUGAACGCUGGCGGCGUGCAUAACACAUUCAAGUCGAACGGAGUUAUCUUGAUUAAUCCUUUGGGAAGCGUUGGGAUAACUUAGUGGCGGACGGGUGAGUAACGCGUGAGCAACCUGCCUCUGUGUGUGGAAUAACGUCUGGAAACGGACGCUAAUACCGCAUAAUGCAACGGAAUCGCAUGUUUCUGUUGCCAAAGAUUUAUUGCACAGAGAUGGGCUCGCGUCUGAUUAGCUAGAUGGCGGGGUAACGGCCCACCAUGGCGACGAUCAGUAGCCGGUCUGAGAGGAUGAACGGCCACAUUGGGACUGAGAUACGGCCCAGACUCCUACGGGAGGCAGCAGUGGGAAUAUUGGGCAAUGGGGGAAACCCUGACCCAGCAACGCCGCGUGAAGGAAGAAGGCCUUCGGUUGUAAACGUUCUUUAGUUAGGGACGAAGAACGUGACGGUACCUACA